CAGGUUGAAGCGAGGGUAAAACCUCGUGGAGGACCGAACCACGUUGCUGUUGAAAAAGCAUGGGAUGAGCUGUGGAUAGCGGAGAAAUUCCAAUCGAACUCGGAUAUAGCUGGUUCUCCUCGAAAUAGCUUUAGGGCUAGCGUCGUGAAAUGUGAGUACUGGAGGUAGAGCACUGAAUAGGCUAGGGGGCAUAGCGCUUACCGAACCUUAUCAAACUCCGAAUGCCAGAUACUAUCAGCACGGCAGUCAGACUAUGAAAGAUAAGUUCCAUGGUCAAAAGGGAAACAGCCCAGAUCGUCAGCUAAGGUCCCAAAGUGUAAGUUAAGUGGAAAAGGAUGUGGGAUUUCUAAGACAACUAGGAUGUUGGCUUAGAAGCAGCCACUCAUUAAAAGAGUGCGUAAUAGCUCACUAGUCAAGAGAUCCUGCGCCGAAAAUGUCCGGGGCUCAAACUUACCACCGAAGCUACGGGUUCAUACUUUGUAUGAGCGGUAGAGGAGCGUCGUAAUCGGGCUGAAGUCGUACCGUAAGGAGCGGUGGACUGAUUACGAGUGAGAAUGUUGGCAUUAGUAGCGAGAUGUAGGUGAGAAUCCUACAGGCCGAAUAUCUAAGGUUUCCUGAGUAAAGUUUGUCUUCUCAGGGUUAGUCGGGACCUAAGGCGAGGCCGAGAGGCGUAGUCGAUGGACAAUUGGUUGAUAUUCCAAUACCACUAUAAUCGUUAUUAUCGAUGGUGUGACGGAGAAGGAUAGGAUGUGCCAGCUAUUGGAUGCUGGUCUAAGCGUUGAGGGAGUUAGAACAGGCAAAUCCGUUCUAACAAUCCUAGGGCGUGAUGGGGAAGGUUCCACGGAACCGAAGUAUCUGAUUUCAUGCUUCCAAGAAAAGCAUCUAGAAAGAGAAGUAGUGCCCGUACCGCAAACCGACACAGGUAGAUGAGGAGAGAAUCCUAAGGCCGACGGAAGAAUCACAGUUAAGGAACUAGGCAAAUUGACCCCGUAACUUCGGGAGAAGGGGUGCCUACCAAUUGGUAGGCCGCAGAGAAUAGGCACAAGCAACUGUUUAACAAAAACACAGGUCUCUGCUAAAGCGUAAGCUGAUGUAUAGGGGCUGACGCCUGCCCGGUGCUGGAAGGUUAAGGGGAACACUUAGCGCAAGCGAAGGU
rnacentral:rRNA from 1 species